rnacentral:rRNA from 1 species
GUGAGGAAUAUUGGACAAUGGGCGCAAGCCUGAUCCAGCCAUGCCGCGUGCAGGAAGACGCAUCUAUGGUGUGUAAACUGCUUUUGUACGGGAAGAAACACUCCCUCGUGAGGGAGCUUGACGGUACCGUAAGAAUAAGGAUCGGCUAACUCCGUGCCAGCAGCCGCGGUAAUACGGAGGAUCCAAGCGUUAUCCGGAAUCAUUGGGUUUAAAGGGUCCGUAGGCGGUUUAAUAAGUCAGUGGUCAAAGCCCAUCGCUCAACGAUGGAACGGCCAUUGAUACUGUUAGACUUGAAUUACAAGGAAGUAACUAGAAUAUGUAGUGUAGCGGUGAAAUGCUUAGAUAUUACAUGGAAUACCAAUUGCGAAGGCAGGUUACUACUUGUGGAUUGACGCUGAUGGACGAAAGCGUGGGGAGCGAACAGGAUUAGAAACCCCAGUAGUCC